GACGAACGCUGGCGGCGUGCCUAAUGCAUGCAAGUCGCACGCGGCACCUUCGGGUGCUGAGUGGCGAACGGCUGAGGAACACGUGGGGACCUGUCCGGGAGUGGCGGACAACACCGCGAAAGCGUUGCUAAUCCCGCAUACGCCCUGAGGAGGAAAGCCGAAAGACGCUCCCGGGUUGCCCUGCGGCCCAUCAGGUUGUUGGUGGGGUGACUGCCUACCAAGCCAAUGACGGGUUGCCGGUGUGUGAGAACGACCAGCCAGACUGGGACGGGGACACCGCCCAGACGCGUACGGGAGGAGGCAGCAAGAAGAUUUAGGCGAUGGGCGCAGGAGUGACCGAGGAACGGCGCGUGCAGGAAGCCGGCGGUCGGGUUGUAAACUGCUGUUGCUAGGGAUGAUAACGGACGGUACCUGGGGAAUAAGCCCCGGCUAACUCUGUG
rnacentral:rRNA from 1 species